UGGCAGAAAUACAUGCAAUGAAUUUAAGAUUCAUUUAUAAAGAUUAAUCUUUUAUUAGAU
rnacentral:tRNA from 1 species